rnacentral:rRNA from 1 species
UACGGAGGAUGCGAGCGUUAUCCGGAUUUAUUGGGUUUAAAGGGUGCGCAGGCGGAUUUUUAAGUCAGCGGUCAAAUCGUGGGGCUCAACCCCAUCCAGCCGUUGAAACUGGGGAUCUAGAGUGUGCGAGAAGUAUGCGGAAUGCGUGGUGUAGCGGUGAAAUGCAUAGAUAUCGCGCAGAACUCCGAUUGCGAAGGCAGCAUGCCGGCUCCACACUGACGCUGAGGCACGAAGGCCAGGGGAGCGAAAGGG